rnacentral:rRNA from 1 species
AGAAUCAACGCUGGCGGCGUGCCUAACACAUGCAAGUCGAACGAGAAAGUGGAGCAAUCCAUGAGUAAAGUGGCGCACGGGUGAGUAACACGUGACUAACCUACCCUUGAGUGGGGAAUAACUUCGGGAAACCGAGGCUAAUACCGCAUAACACCUACGGGUCAAAGGAGCAAUUCGCUUAAGGAGGGGGUCGCGGCAGAUUAGUUAGUUGGCAGGGUAAUGGCCUACCAAGACGGUGAUCUGUAUCC